rnacentral:rRNA from 1 species
GACGAACGCUGGCGGCGUGCCUAUACAUGCAAGUAGAACGCUGAAGCUUGGUGCUUGCACCGAGCGGAUGAGUUGCGAACGGGUGAGUAACGCGUAGGUAACCUGCCUGGUAGCGGGGGAUAACUAUUGGAAACGAUAGCUAAUACCGCAUAAGAGUAGAUGUUGCAUGACAUUUGCUUAAAAGGUGCAAUUGCAUCACUACCAGAUGGACCUGCGUUGUAUUAGCUAGUUGGUGAGGUAACGGCUCACCAAGGCAACGAUACAUAGCCGACCUGAGAGGGUGAUCGGCCACACUGGGACUGAGACACGGCCCAGACUCCUACGGGAGGCAGCAGUAGGGAAUCUUCGGCAAUGGACGGAAGUCUGACCGAGCAACGCCGCGUGAGUGAAGAAGGGUUUCGGAUCGUAAAGCUCUGUUGUAAGAGAAGAACGAGUGUGAGAGUGGAAAGUUCACACUGUGACGGUAUCUUACCAGAAAGGGACGGCUAACUACGUG